UGGGAUUGGGAACCAGGCGACAGUUGUCGGGACCAGGAGGCACAUAAUCUGGGAUCCCGUCGUUGUCAUCGUCCCCGUCACACUCAUCUCCAAGGCCGUCGUUGUCGGAGUCCAGCUGGGAGCUGUUUGGCAGCUGUGGGCAGUUGUCCUUGGUGUCCUGAUGUCCAUCCCCGUCGCUGCCCAGAACAGGCACCAGAUAAAGGCUCUAAAAGUACCACAUCCGUCCCCGCUCUUCGGCGCGAGGUCUGGGGUGUACCCUCCAUUCGGCCACACAGCCCCCUCUCUUCGGGGUGGGGACUGGGGUGUACCCUCCAUUCGGCCACACCCCCUGCCAUCAGCCAGGUGAGGUAAAGUCCCACAGCAGGGGUGGAGGGCAGACCUCCUGCUCGACAGUGGUGGACAGUCAAGGCUAAACCACGGAGGAAACUGAGUAUGUGCUAGAGGAGAGGAGAGGAAGCCCUGUUAUGACCAUCUAGCUCUCUGCCAACCCUACCUGUCCUCGUUGGUGUCACAGACAUCCCCCACCAGGUCGCUGUCUGCGUCUGUCUGCGGGAGAGGGGCCGGUUCUCAGCAUCUGUUGGUAACUGGAGGAUGGCUGGCCCACUUCCUAUCUGAAGGGCUGGGGCUCCACCCUCCGGCCCCCUACCCCGCACCGCUGUACCUGAGUGGGAUUGCUCAUUUCAGGGCAGCUGUCACACGCAUCUCCCACCCCGUCCUCAUCCCUGUCUGUCUGCAGGGGGUUGGGGACUUUAGGGCAAUUGUCCAGUCCGUUGGGGAUACCUAUAAGACACGGGGAUAGCACAGAGCCGUCACUAGGACACGUCACAUCCUCUUCUGUGUUGGUGAGAGCCCAGAGCUCACCUCCCACUCAGAGAAAAGCUGCUCAAGACCCCUGCCUGCGCCCCCUGCCCCCCUUCCUCACAUUCCCAUUGACCCCUGCCCCACGCCAGUCUCAGACUUCCUAGCUGCCCCUUGUGCCCACCUGCAUCCAAAUUCUUACAGGCCCCCCACCCCCCUCAGCCCCGUCCUGCACCGUCCCCGUCCACGUCGUUGUCACAGGCAUCCCCUUCCCCAUUGCCAUCCGUGUCCUUCUGGUCAUUGUUGGGAACGUUGGGGCAGUUGUCACAGGCAUCCCCGAAUGAAUCUGUAUCUGA
rnacentral:lncRNA from 1 species